rnacentral:rRNA from 1 species
CUACGGGAGGCAGCAGUGAGGGAUAUUGCACAAUGGGGGCAACCCUGAUCCAGCGACGCCGCGUGUGUGAAGAAGGCCUGCGGGUUGUAAAGCACUUUUAGUGGGGAGGAAGGCCGUCGACCUAAUACGUCGGAGGAUUGACUUAACCCACAGAAAAAGCACCGGCUAACUCUGUGCCAGCAGCCGCGGUAAUACAGAGGGUGCAAGCGUUAAUCGGAAUUACUGGGCGUAAAGCGUGCGUAGGCGGUUUCGUAAGUCGGAUGUGAAAGCCCCGGGCUCAACCUGGGAAUUGCAUUCGAGACUGCGAAGCUCGAGUGCGGAAGAGGGAAGUGGAAUUUCCGGUGUAGCGGUGAAAUGCGUAGAUAUCGGAAGGAACAUCAGUGGCGAAAGCGACUUCCUGGUCCAGCACUGACGCUCAGGCACGAAAGCGUGGGGAGCAAACAGGAUUAGAUACCCGAGUAGUCC